rnacentral:rRNA from 1 species
AGUAAAGUGGCGACCGGGUGAGUAACACGUGACUAACCUACCUUCAAGUGGGGGAGUAACCUCGGGAAACCGGGGCUAAUACCGCAUAACAUCCCUGGAGUGGAAACUCCGGGGAUCAAAGGAGCAAUUCGCUGGAAGAGGGGGUCGCGGCUGAUUAGCUAGUUGGCGGGGUAAUGGCCCACCAAGGCUUUGAUCGGUAGCCGGCCUGAGAGGGCGCACGGCCACACUGGAACUGAAACACGGUCCAG